GGAUUGAGUGGUGGGUAUUACUUUCUUCUUCCUCCGAACCCUAAUUCCCCUCUUUUUUUCUUCAGGAAUAGCGAGUUUGAUUCCAUUUUCUAAUUUGCAGGUGCCUACACUUACGUUUCUUCUGGUGGAGAAAAAGGUGAGGUACUUACGUACAAGGAUGCGGGUGUUGACAUUGAUGCUGGUUCAGAACUUGUUAGGAGAAUAGCAAAGAUGGCUCCUGGAAUUGGUGGUUUUGGUGAACUUUUCCCUUUGGGGGAUUCGUAUCUGGUGGCUGGUACAGACGGAGUGGGUACCAAACUUAAGCUGGCUUUCGAGACUGGAAUCCAUGAGACCAUUGGCAUUGAUUUGGUUGCAAUGAGUGUUAACGAUAUUAUCACUUCUGGGGCGAAGCCUUUGCUUUUCCUUGAUU